rnacentral:rRNA from 1 species
GGAUAAGACAUGCAAGUCGAACGGGACAUUAUUUGUAGCAAUACAGGUGAUGUUCAGUGGCGCAAGGGUGCGUAACACGUGAGCAACCUGCCUUGAAGUGGGGGAUAGCUCGCCGAAAGGCGAAUUAAUACCGCAUGUGGUAGUAAUACUAAAGCCGGGGCAACCUGGCGCUUCUUGAGGGGCUCGCGGCCUAUCAGCUAGUUGGUGAGGUAACGGCUUACCAAGGCUAUGACGGGUAGCUGGUCUGAGAGGACGACCAGCCACACUGGAACUGAGACACGGUCCAGACACCUACGGGUGGCAGCAGUCGAGAAUUUUUCUCAAUGGGGGAAACCCUGAAGGAGCGACGCCGCGUGGAGGAUGAAGGUCUUCGGAUUGUAAACUCCUGUCAUUGGUGAACAAAGCCACAGGUUAACUGCCUUGUGGUAUGCUAGUAGCCGAAGAGGAAGGGACGGCUAACUCUGUGCCAGCAGCCGCGGUAAUACAGAGGUCCCAAGCGUUGUUCGGAUUCAUUGGGCGUAAAGGGUGCGUAGGCGGUGGGGUAAGUUGGAUGUGAAAUCUUGGGGCUUAACCUCAAAAUUGCAUUCAAUACUGCUCCGCUUGAGCGCUGUAGAGGAGAUUGGAAUUUACGGUGUAGCAGUGAAAUGCGUAGAUAUCGUAAGGAACGCCAGUGGCGAAAGCGAAUCUCUGGGCAGCAGCUGACGCUGAGGCACGAAGGCCAGGGGAGCAAACGGGAUUAGAUACCCCGGUAGUCCUGGCAGUAAACGGUGCGCGUUUGGUGUGGGCAGGUUCGACCCUGUCCGCGCCGAAGCUAACGCAUUAAACGCGCCGCCUGGGAAGUACGAUCGCAAGAUUAAAACUCAAAGAAAUUGACGGGGGCCCGCACAAGCGGUGGAGUAUGUGGCUUAAUUCGAUGCAACGCGAAGAACCUUACCUAGGCUUGACAUGCAUCUCUAAGUCGGUGAAAGCCGGCGAGCUCCGCAAGGAGUAAUUUGCACAGGUGCUGCAUGGCUGUCGUCAGCUCGUGUCGUGAGAUGUUGGGUUAAGUCCCGCAACGAGCGCAACCCUCGCCCUUAGUUGCCAACAGGUCGUGCUGGGAACUCUAGGGGGACUGCCCCGGUUAACGGGGAGGAAGGUGGGGAUGACGUCAAGUCAUCAUGGCCUUUAUGUCCAGGGCUACACACGUGCUACAAUGGCCGGUACAAAGGGUCGCAAACGCGUGAGCGGAAGCUAAUCCCAAAAAGCCGGUCCCAGUUGGGAUCGCAGUCUGCAACUCGACUGCGUGAACGCGGAAUCGCUAGUAAUCGCGAAUCAGCAGGUCGCGGUGAAUACGUU